CGCGGCGUAGAGCAGUUGGCAGCUCGUCGGGCUCAUAACCCGGAGGUCGUAGGUUCAAGUCCUGCCGCCGCAACCA
rnacentral:tRNA from 1 species